GGGUCUAUGGGAACUAUUAGAGACUCAGUAAUCGCUGGGUUGGAGGAUUUAGUGGGAGACUUGGGGGUCGCAGGAAUAGUGGAUGUAACGAUUUCUCUUCCAGUUGUGUUUAAUUCCUUCCCUCUUCUAUGACAGAUCAGUCUUCCAUCGGUACUGUCUUCUAUGCUCUAAGUUUUUCCUUUUUCUGUGGCCUCUUGUGGUCGCAACUGCUAGCUCUUUUCCUCGGG
rnacentral:lncRNA from 1 species